rnacentral:lncRNA from 1 species
UUGUGGUUGUGCUAUAUGGGACACUGCCUCAGCAUGUCUUGAUGAGCAGUGCUAGGUCUGUGCCCAGGAUCUGAACCAGCAAAACGCCGGGCCACUGAAGUGGAGUGCAUGAACUUAACCAUUUGGCCAUGGGGCCGGCUCCAAACUACUGGUUUUAAGAUUGUCAAAAUGGUGAUAAUUACUGGGUGAGAAGAUGAGUAUAUGGGGGUUCAUUACACUAUUCUCUCUACUUCUAUAUACAUUUGAAAUUUUCCACAAUAAAAAGUUAAAGAAACAGAGAGAGAGAGAGAGAGAGAGACAAAGAACAAACAAUCUGAAGAAUCUUAAGGAAACAAAAAAGAAAAGGUGCUACUGGUUUUAAGCCCUUGGAAAGAAAAAAGUUUUAAAAACACUGUUAAAAGACUUUCCCAGUGCUACUUACAGACAAGUUGUAGAAAUGGAGUGUCUUGAGGCUACUGGAUUAUAGUAAAAAUCUGAUGGCUCAUUGUUUUUCAAAAAAACAUCUCCUUAAUUCUUAAUUAAGUUUAACCAGAUAUUUUUCAUGGGGUCCAAAAUUAGAAGGUAUUUAAGAUGAAAAGUACAUUACAGCGUAUCCAGGGCAAUCUCCUUGUUAUUACUGAUAGGGAAAUUUGGGUCUGAUGACAUAGGUAGUUAGUGACAAAGUAGAAACUAAAACCCAAGCUGUAUGACUCUAAUUCAUGCAGUUUCUACCUUGCCAGAUUAGGGUACUAGCAUAUUCUAACAGUAUGUUGAUGAUUUUACUUUAAACAUCCAGCAGAAGGAAUCUCAUUAUCUCUUCCCAUUGCAAUUCUGCAUUACAACAUGAGUUGGGAAUGCCAUUAGCUAUAAGUGAACAAAAAUCAUACCUCAAACUGCUUAAACUUAAGGACAUUUACUGGCUCACAUAACUGUUAGUCCACAGGUAGCGUGGAAUUCAAGGUUGGUUUGACCUAGCAGCUCUGGCUCCAUCCCUCUAUAAUUCUCUCAGCUCCGUCAACUUCUAGAGCUGGUGUCUUCCUUGAUAACAAGAUUGCAGCAGCAGCUGAGAGCCUCACAUUCACAUAUGACAAUGUCUACACACAGAGGCGGCCUCUUCCCAUGCUUUGGACAAGGAAAAAUGUCUUUCCCAGAAGCUUCUGCAAGCAGACUACCUGGGUUUGCACCUGGCUCUGACACCUACUAUCAAGUAAGUUCACAAAAGUGGUCACCUACAUUACAAGAUUGUUGUGACAAUUAAAGGAGCAGCAUGUAAAGGGUGGAGAUCAGACAGUACAAAUUGUAUUAAGCAAAGCACUAAAUAAAUUCUAGCUAUUAUUUAUUUCAUACAACUAAAUUACUAUGAUGUGAAGAAUCAUGACAUUUUUUAAUGUUGAAAGGAGACAUUUCUUUUUAACUGCCCAGCAUUCCUCUCUUCCCCCUUCCUAAUUUCCUUUUGGAGAAUGACCCCUCCGCCACCUGGUAUAACCUUGCUGAGACUGUAAACCCAUGUGUGUACUUUCUUCCUAUGGAGGCCAAAGGGAUUCCUGGAGGUUCCUGCAACUAAAUCCCUCCUCUCACCACUGGUAUACCCGGCAUGACCUAGAUUCAGCUAAUCAGAUGUGUUCUCCAGGAGUCUGCAAUCUUGAGCAAGUAACUUGCAAAGAAGAAAGAAACAGGCGGAGUUCAUUCAUCCCAGGGGUAACAUCCUGAUCAGAUCAUUCCUCUAAUUCUGCUUUCCAGAUCCCCAGAGCUGCCUUAGUUUCUGCCUGUUUCCAAGAGUGGUUCUCAAGCAGUCCGUUAGUUCUGUAAGUUUCUAAUUCCUUCCCAAUAAAUUACCUCCUGCUCACGUUAGGUAAAGUUGGAUCCUACUGUCUGCAACCAAAGAAUCCCAGUGAGAAGCCAAUUAAGAUCAAUUGUUGGAGUAUAGUAUAAAGAUACUCUGCUGGGACUGAAGAAUGGAACUGGGGCUCUGUGAGGAUGAGAAAGCAAGUCUUAGAAAGAUGUUUUAGGAAGUACAAGGAGAAGCCAGAAGGCUAAAAUGUGAUGAGCAAUGGAAUUAGGUUUAUUCCAGUGUAGGGAUGUGAAGGACUGCCCCAGAGAUCUGGAGAAUUGCAGUGUGAGGGGUAAGCUGCAUGGGAGGAAGACAGCCCACCAACUUCUCACUGAAACUUUCUGCCUGGUGAAAUUCUAGGACAGGUAUUUCUAUAAGACCUCUUUUAAAGAGAUGUGUGAUAUAAGGAGCUCACCAUCAGGUUCACUGCUGCUAUCUAUACAAGGAUCCAAAGGGGGAGAUCUUACCCUCUGUCUCUGGUGGAAACCCUUUUUCCCUAGUUCAGCACAUUCUGGCGUAUAGAAAGUUCAAGUUCAUAAGGAAACUCUAUUACAGCUCAAUAGUAUUUAAGGGCAGAGAUUAUUCAGAGAUGAGAAAACAGUAUUAAAGUUAUCCAGUUGGCUUGGUUCAGAUUUCAAGUCCUCAACAAUUUUUUCCAGGAAUUCUAUUUUCACUAUCCUAGUCUAUGUCACUACAUCCCAUUCUGCUUUGACUUGUCUACUUAUUCCCACCUUCCUGCCUGAUCUGAAUCAAGCUGGUUUUUAGAUCCCAUUCUGAGUCUCUGAAGAGAAGAAGUUUUUCCAGUUCAGGGUUCAGAUAAACCCAUGCUAAGUAACUUUGUGCCCCUCUCUCUCUGACAUGAUCUACCCUAACCUCUAAACCUAACACCCAGUGUCCUAAGUUCUCCCCAAACUCUCUCCUGUCUUCCCUGGUCUCCAUAGCACUCUCUCUCUCCAAAAUACAAAUUCCCUACCUUCUUUCAUUCUCAAAAUGCGCCCCAAAUGUAACUUUUUAAAAAUGCCUACCAGUAAAUCACAUCCAACUGCUGGUUUCUUUCCCCUCUAGCUUAGUUAUCAUAUCCCUUCAUAACGUUCAAAUUUACAAAAAAAUUUGAGGCAACUCUCAUCUGGCCCAGAAAUAUCUAUGACUUCCAUUUACAACAUUAAAAAAAUAAAUAUUGAGGUAGAAGAAUUACUUUACACUGUAUAACUUUCAGUACUAUCAGGAUAUUUUACCAUGUAAACGUUACUUUUUCUACUUAAAAAAAUUCCCAUUACUUAAUAAUGCAAAAAAAUUAUCUUAGUCACCUUACUCUCCCAAAAGCCUUUUAAUCCAGAACCAUGGAUAUCAGAUGGGGAGAAGAAAGUAUCCCUAAAUUCAUAAUCAUUUUGUUUAGUUUUGUUUGGAGGGUGGCGAGUAGACAGGCAGCAGCUUGUAGCCAUAAGUUUACAGUCUGGUCACUAAACAAACCAAUGGUCUUCCACUGCCAAAAGUUUAAGGGAAAUCUGAAGAUAUUUUCAAGCCCCUAACCCCUCAGAAAGUGACACUGCAAGUACUUUAAGGCCCCCAGGUGAUGGCAUGGCUGGAUUAGUCACUGCCACUUCUCACAUUUGGGAGUUGCUGGUAAAUCAGGAUAGGUCAGGGCCGGCAAUCAAGCAUCUCUGUGGGUGUGGGUAAACUGACUUCCAGGUGGACCCCACCUUGUCUGACCUAAGCAAAAUGGAUCAAUCCAGAUCUUUUUACAGUGUUUCAUUACUUUUUUGUUAUAUGAGUGUAUUUUACAUAAGAUAUUUCCCUAAAUAUUAAAAUACUAUAUUGCAAUAGUUAAAUCUGAAUUGUGGACUAGUCAAAAUCUGCUGCUUCAUUUAGGCCCACCCCCAAAAGAUUUAUCCUUAUAUUCUGAGACUUCAAGAUACCAUCCAACCCUCCCCAGUGAGUUGAUGUCAGCACUGGAUUCACCAUCUUCCUGUCCACCUCCAACCUGUCAAUCCUCUGUCAGCUGCACCAUCCAAGCUGCCUUCUAACACUGUCUUCCUCAGCAGCACCAAUCCUGGUGAUCUAUCUUCUGUCUCGGGGCCCAACACCAACCUGCCUAUUGACACCUGAAACUGACACUUCAGCCAAAACCAAACCCGGAUGCAAACCACCACCCAACCAUCUCCUGGCCAUCUGGUGCUUACAUUCCCUCACCUCACCAAACCUGCUCUUCUCUAUCUGCUUCCAAGUCAGCUCCCGUUCCCCUACCCAGCCAGGUUUCUAAUUUCAUGUGCUUAGCUACCAACCUAGAAGUCACACAGCUUUUGUAAUUAUGCCCUCUUGGACACACAAAAAGUCCCGCACCUAUUGGACCUUUCAGCCUUUCAAUCUCUAACCCUAGACAAGUCCUGCUGUUCAAUUUUUCUGCUUCAACUUCCAGGAUACUAACAUUACAGAGAAAGAUCUGAAACAAUGCUGGCUGAGUCCACAGCAAACCCAUGCUAACUAGCCUAGCCAGACAGAGCCCUUACUGUUCUGCACAAUUCCUCUCCCGUACUCCCCCGCACCGACCCUUCCCUUCAUGCAUGCAUACCCUCACAGACCACCCAACACAACCCUGGCCUCUGACUUUACAAAGUCUCACCUCCUCAGACUCAAGUUCCCUCCAUCUCACUUUCACCUCACAUUCCCUUUGUUCCUCUCUCACAGAAUCCUUCCUCCUUUUCAAGGAUAAUGCUCUCCAGUUGUACACUUAAUUGCUACUCCUUUCUCUAGCCUUGGAGGCCUCCUUCCACAAAUACUCCUCUCUUUCGCACUCACCAGCCAACUCCACCAGCCCUUUCUCCCAAGGUAACUGAAUUUCAGGCCAAACUACACCCAGAGAUGAGGGUUUUUGUCCUCCCUCCCCAUAAAAAAAGACUCUUAAAAUUGCAUUGCUAACAUUUAAAAAUCAGGACAUUUCACUCGAAAAAUCAGGAUUUCUAGCUUUUCUGGUAAAACAGAAUCCUCUGCCACCACUGAGUGAGCAUACUCAAACAACAGAAUGUGAGGAGCUGACUACGGGCCGCUCCCUUUCAAAGGGGCAUUUGCCAUCUCCACUGUACCACAAUCCCCUUUCCUGGUCUCCUGUCACCCUUACACUGACUCUCAUCCACCUUAAUGCCCUGCCUCUCACUCACUGCUACCCCCUUGUAAUGAGAUUUCUACUGUUACUUCUCUGCUGAAACUAAAAAGAGGAGAAAAAGCAAGACAGAGGAAGAAAUCUUUUCACACUCCUGCCUGCUCAACAGCAUUGGACAUCAGUGCCCACUAUUUUUCAUAAGGUGUCCUUCCUUGGCAUUCCUGAUUUGCCCUCUUCUAAUUCUCCUGCUGAGGAAAUCAUGUAGACCUUCCAAUGGUUAGACACCUGAAAACACCUCUGAACGCCAUAUAGGCCCCAGUCAGCACAGUCCUCCCCUGUAACACUGUCACCAGCCAACCCAGGUCUUGGAGUUUCCCUCAGGGAAAAAAAAAACAGGAAAAAGACUCAGUCUAAGACCUGAUUAAAGUCUUGCACCUCUCAAGGUAAGCACACUGACUUAUCCAACAUUUACUGGUCACUUUUCAGGUGGGAGGCACUGGUGCUUAGCAGACCAGUGAGAGAAGGUCUCUACCAUUGCCUAAGGAACUCACAGUCUAGAAGGAACACAGAUACAUAAACUGACAGUGUCAGCAUGACAUGUGAUAAUAUAAAGAAAAAAAAGAAGUACUAAGGGGAAGGCCAGGGAGGGCCAGAGCAGCUUGCUGAGAGAAACACCAGAGCCGUCCUUGGCCUCAGACAGAUCCACUGUCACCAUGUUAGUCCAGGCCUCUUGCAAGUCUCCUAACUGGUCUCCAUGCCUCUCUUUUACCCAUCCUACCCUCUUGCCCAAAUCCAUUCUCCACAUUACAGCAAGGGUGAUCUGCUUAAAUUUCGAAACAGAGCUCUCUCCUGCUCAAAACCUUUCAACAGCGCUGAGAAAAAGGUCCUGCACCAUCUGUCCCAUGCCAUUUUUCUCCCUUCAUCUCACUCCACUUUCCCUCGCACCAAUGGCCCUUCAGCCACACUAAUCUUUCAGACCCUUAAACAAAAUGAGUUCUCUUUUGCUACAUGGCCUCUGCACAUACCUUUCUUUUUACCUGGAAUCCUAUUGCCCCCACUCUCUGUACUAAAAUCUGUUUGACCUCUGGGUCUCAGCUGAAAUGUCAUUUCCCCAUUAUUUACUUAAUCAUCUCUCUGUCUGCCCCAUUAGACUGAUCCAAGACGAUCCGUGUCUGUUUUGUUCACUUUGUAUCUACAGCACCUGGCACACAACUGACACUCCAAUAUUUGCUCAAUGAGGAUGUACAAGACUCUUUCCUUCCCUAGGGUCCUAAAAGUAUUUCUCAGCCCUCUCUACCACUCCCUAUUUUCAUCAUCUCCAUGCUGAUCAUGUUCAUCUGUACCUCCAGACCUGACCUCUCCUCCCAAGAUCGAGUUCCACAACUAUGAUGCCUGCAGAAUAGUUCCACCUGGAGUCCUUCUCUGGCACCUGCAACUGGACAUGUCUCAAGACACACUAUUAACUAUCCUCAAACUCUCCUGUUUUUUUCCACUGCUGUUAAUGGUGGCCUCCCUUAGAGGUUGAAUGACUAUCCUUCACUGACUGACAAGACCAUCUGAUUCCAUCUCUAAAAAUGCACCUGUAUGUUCCGGUAUACACAGUCACCUGGACUAGUGCAUUAGCCUCAUUUCCUACCUCUAGUCUUUCAAAAUAACAAUCACCCACCUACAUGUACAAUAAAGCUUAAUUCUGAUGUCAAUCAAUACUCCCAUCAAAUCCUUCAAUGGCUCCCUACUGCCUUCCAAAUAACGUCCACACUCUUCUGCUUGGUAUUCAAAGCCCCUGUAAAUCUUGUCCACACUAUCCUAACAAAGCAGCCUAGUUUGGUGGUUAAGACAAUAAACUCUGGAGCCAGACUGCCAUGCUAAAUGCACAGACACAGGGAUAGAUGCAGAUCCGAGCUUCACCACUUAACCUCUUCAUGCUACAGCUCCUUAUCUGUACAGUGGGGAUAAUGAUAAAAGCAUUUACCUCUGAGGGUUCUUAUAAAGAUUAAAUGAACUAAUAUAAGUAGAACACUUAGAAUAGUGCCUGGCACUGGUCAGUGCAAUACACGUUGUGUUUUAUACCCCAUCUCCAACUAUCAAAAGCUACAUCCCAGUCUGUCUGAAUCAACUCACGGUUCUCCUAACACUCCUCAAACUUUCCCUCCUGAGGUAAGAGCCUACAACACCAGCUGAUAACCACCAGCUGAUAAGCUGCCAGUAUUGCACCGCUUCUCCAAAUCAAGGGCAUUUCCAGUCAAAAGCUUACACCACAAAGCUCUUUCUCUCCAGGAGCGUCCUUCUAUCUCAGGCACUGAAAUGCCCCAGAGGUUGCCCAUCAAAGGAUUUCCAGCCCUGUUCAAAGACUCUUCUUAAACAUCCUUUCUUCCCUCUACUUUCUCAUUCCCCUCCUAAGUUUCAGAUCAGAGACCAUCUUAGCACCAUUUUCCAUGCCCAGUGGCAAAGCUGUCUUAGUUCUCCUAUGCCCCUAAUCUGGGUAAAAAUUGAAACUCUCAUGGCUACUCUCCCUACAACAGUCCUAUUACAUUAGUGUUCUCUUCAGAUGGAAACACUCAAAAUAAUUAAAAUUAAUUCUGCAGUCUUACUACGAGCAGAAUAUGGACUUCAAUUUCUGAAGUGGUCAGGCCUCACCAGUAUGACAGUGCUGCCUUCCUACCCUCUACAGUCACUGCUAUACAGAGGGACUUGUAAACAUUGGUUAAGUGUUUAUUGACAACUCACUAAUUCCUAGGGAUAGAAAAAGGAGAGGUACAACAUUCCAAGAAAUUUUCACUGACUGUUUAGCCUUAAAGAAAACAAUAAAUUAUGAAAUGUAAUGUGUAAUUUCCAAAGAAUAAUUUAAUAACUUAGCAUGUAACUCUACCUAUGCAGUGCAAAUUCCACUCCUUUUUAUAACUGAAUCAAUACUGAAAAGAACUUUUUUCCUAUGAGAAGGAAAAACACAAAAACACAAAAAUCUAGCAAAAACCAUGACAUCUAAACCUAAGGAACUGUCUUCAAAUCACCUCAUGGCUCCCCAGAAGGCUUCACUUAGUGUCCCUUAGUGUGUGUCCCAUAGCUGAGGUUGUCAUCCAAAAGAUAACACACUAGAAACCUAUAUUUAAACAACUUUACAGAACUAAAACAAUCACGUUCUCGAUAUAACAUUAGAAGUCAUUAAUUACAUUAAUUACAAAGGAGUAAAUUAAUGUUAUAAAAUUACAUUAAUUAUAAAGGAGGAUUCUUAUAAACAUUUAUAAGGAUUUGCUUUAUAGUUCAUAACAAUUUAUAAGAAUUUAAAAAUUAAAGAAGAGGGGCAUGCCCAGUGGCAUAGUGGUUAAGUUUGUGCACUCAGUCUGCUUCAAUGCCUGGAGCUGGUGAGUUUGGAUCCUGGGCGUGGACCUACACACAGCUCAUCAAGCCAUGCUGUGGCAGCAUCCCACAUACAAAAUAGUGGAAGACUGGCAUAGAUGUUGGCUCAGUGACAAUCUUCCUCAACAAAAUAAAUAAACAAAAAUUAAAGGAGAAAGAAGUCACAUAAAAUCAAAGAUGCACUCUCAACUCCCAUCACUAUUGCUAUAGCUGCCCUAAAAACAAUCCUGAACAUUCGUUCUCCUCAAGGACUAAAAGGGUUUCACACUGAGGAUGUCCCAACAAAAAUACAAGCAAAACAGCAGAGAAGAAACUAAACUGAAUGACUAAUCGUUGAUUUAUAAUUUCAAAAAGAAUGAAGUAGUAAUACUCCAGGCAGUACUAGUCAAAGUGUAGUUCCUAGAGAGCAAACUGCUUGCACCUAUUCCAUGAGAAGGUAAGUACACAGACUGAGUAAGUAUUUAGAAACCUUUAGAGCAACUUGAGAGAAAUUUUACAUCUACUGAAUCUAAUAAUAAAAAAUUGGGAGUUAUAUAUUGUAGGGUUUUUACUUCAUUUUCCUUGAAAUAUAUUUUUUACAUAUGUUAGAAAAGAAUCAGGCCAUGACAAAGGGGAAAUGUUAAAAACUGGUCCUUCAGGGAUAUUUGCUUCUGAGAAGAUAAAGUAGAUGUACUUUUCCCUAUUCCUCCCACUAACUACAACUAAAAACUCUGGCCAUUGCAUAUGAAACAAACAUAAGAAGACUCUUAUGUGUGGUGAGAAGAAGGCAGACUGGCUAGGGAUCUCAGGUCCCAGGGAACAACACAAUGGUGAUUUCUCUGGGUUUUAUUUUUGCCUCAUAAAUCCCAGACUUUGAGGUGAAGAAGCUGACAACCUGCAAAUGCCAACAGGCACAGACAAAAAAAGCCCCAACAAAAGUCUGCUCUCUCUAGCCAAAGAUACAUCCUAGCAAGACAGAAAACUCGUAGGGAAAAAAACCACUCUACUCCAGACAAACGCCACAAAGAAAAGUGUGGCCCCAUCCAGACCAGCAAAGGUCAGAUGAGAAGCUUAGACUUCCACAUACUCUCCAGGUUGUAAUAAGGCACUCCAACCCCUUCCACACUAGAGCAAUACUGAGGUAGCCACGUAGGGAGCCCAGGCUUUCAUCCACAUCAGCUGGUAACAAGACAUCCUUCCACACCAUCUCUCCUGGGGAUCCUGGACCUUUACCCACACCUGGCAGUAACAAAACACUCUACUUUUUAGGCCAGGAGAAGGUCUAUUUCUAAUUCCUCCUAGCAAUAACAAGGUAGUGCUGCAUGCCACCCCCUUACCCGACUGGAGUGGCAUCAAAAAACCCAGCUGUAACAGAGGCUUAAAUAAGCUCUAGAAUUUCAUAGAAUAUGAAAAUGUCCAGGUUUUAACCAAAAAUUACUCAUCAUACCAAAAGCCAGGAUGAACUCAAACUCAAUGAAAAAGACAUCAGUAGACACCAACACCAAAAUGAGAGAGAUGUUGGAAUUAUCUCACAAUGAUUAUAACAGCUGUGACAGAAAUGCUUCAACAAUUUCAAGCAUGCUUAAAAAAAAUUAAAAAUAAAUAAAUGAAUAACCUCAAGAAAUAUAAAAUAUAAAGAAAAGUGAAAUGGAAAUUUUGAAAAAUACCAAAAUAAAAAGCUCAGUAGAUGGACUCAAUAGCAAAAUGGAAGGGACAAAGAAAAGAGGAGCAAUUGAGCAAUAGAUAUUACUCAAUCUGAACAACAGAGAGAAAUAAACUAAAGAGAAAUCAACAUCCUUAGGGACCUGUGGGACCAUAACAAAAGAUCCAACAUUCAAGUUAUCAGAGUCUUGAAAAAAGAGGAGAAAGGGAGUGAGCUAAAGAAGUACUCAAAGAUAUAAUGGUAAAAACUUACCAAAUUUGGCAUGAGACAUAAACCUACAGAUUCAGAAAGCUGAGUGAACUCCAAACAGGAUAAACCCGAAGAAAUCUACACCAAGAUGUAGCAUAAUUAAACUUUUGAAAACUAAAGACAAAAAUUCCUGAGAACAGUGAGAGAAAAAUGACACCUUAACUACAAAGGAAAAACUAUUUGAAUGACAGUGGAUUUCUCAUCAGAAACCAUGGAGGCCAGAAGGAAGUGGUACAACAUUUUUCAAAUGCUGAAAGAAAAGAUCAACACAAGGGGGCCAGCCCAGUGGCGUAGUGGUUAAGUUCACGUACUCCACUUUGGCAACCCGGGGUUCGCAGGUUCAGAUCCUAGGUGUGGACCCAGCACUGUUCAUCAAGCCAUGCUGUGGUGGCAUCCCACAUAAAAUAGAGGAAGACUGGCUCACAUGUUAGCUCAGCAACAAUCUUCCUCACCAAAAAAAAAAUCAACACAGAAACCUAUACCCAGAGAAAAUAUCCUUCAUGAAAGAAGAGGAAAUCAAGACAUUCUCAAAUGAAGAAAAACUAAGAGAAUUUGUCAUUAGCAGCCUUACCCUAAAGAAUGGCCAAAGGAAGUUCUUAAAACAAAAAAUAUAUGAUAAAAGAAGGAAUCUUGAGACAUCAAAAGGAAAACUAAGCAAAAAUAUGGGUAAACAGGCUUUCCUUCUCUCCUGAGUUUUCUCAUUCAUGUCUCACUGUGGGAGCAAAAACUAUAACACUGUCUAGUGAGGUUCUAAAUGUAUGUAGAGGAAAUAUUUACAAUUGUAUUAAAAUGGGGGAGGGUAAAUGGAUAUAAAGGGAAGUAAGGUUUCUAUACUCCACUUCAACACAAAUGACAACAGUAGACAAUGAUAAGUUAUGUAUAUAUAAUGUAAUACUUAGAGCAACCAAUAAGAAAAAUUUUAAUUAAAACAACUAUACAAAGAAAUAUACUCAAAAACAGUAUCAAUAAAUCAAAGAGUAAUUUUAAAAAAUUUUUCAAGUAACCCACAGGAAGUCAGGGGGAAAAAACACCCAGAGAAACAAAAAAACAGAGGGAACAAAAACAAAAAAUAAAAUGGUAGACUUAAGCCCUAAUAGAUCAAUAAUUACAUUAAAUGUAAAUGAUCUAAACGCAUCAAUGAAAAGACAGAGAUUGGUACCAUGGAUUACAAACAUGACCCAACUAUAUGCUGUCUACAGGAAACUUACUUCAAAUGUAACGAUAUAGGCAGGUUGAAGGUAAAAAGCUGGGAAAAGAUAGCUCAUCCAAACAACAAAAGGAAAGCAAUCAAAGGAAAAAGAAAAUUAGUGGCUAUGUUAAUAUCAGAUAAAGUAGAAUUCAGAGGAAAGAAAAUUGCUAGAGACAGAGAAGGACAUCAUAUAAUGAGAGAACAAGUCAACCCACCAAGAAAAUACAGCAACUCUAAAUGUGCAUACAUCAAACUGAGAGCUGCAAAAUAUAUAAAGCUAAAUAUUGAUAUAACCUAAAAGGAAAAAAAGACAAAUAUACAAAUAGAGUCAGAGACUUCAACAUCCUCUUCAAGAGUUGACAGACUAGACAGAAAACCAGCCAAAGUAUAGAAGAAUUCAACAACGUCAUCAACCAACAGGAUCUAACUGACAUUUAUAGAAUACGCCACUCAACAAUAGCAGAAAACGCGUUCAAGUGUCCACAGAACAUAUACCAAGAUAGACCAAAUGCUGAGCCACGAAACAAGCCUCAACAAAUUUUAAAAGAACUGAAAUCAUACAGUGUGUCGUCUCCAAUCACAAUGGAAUCAAACUGGAGACCAGAAACAGAAAGAUGACAGGAAAACCGCCAAAUACUUGAAAACCAAACAACACACUUCUAAACAAUCCCUGGGUCAAAGAAGUUGUCUCAAGGAAAAUAAAAAUAUACAUUGAACUGAGUGAAAAUAAAAAUACAGCAUAUCAAAAUUUGGGGACACAGCUAAAACAGUGCUAAGAGAGAAGUUUAUGGAGCUAAAUGCCCUCAUGAAUAUAAAUGCAAAAAAUCCUUAACAAAAUAUUAGUACAGAUCUUCCUUGACUUUCGAUAGGGUUACGUCCCAAUAAACCCAUGAGUUGAAAAUACUGUAAGCCAAAAAUGCAUUUAAUAUACCUAACCUACCCAACAUCAUAGUUUAGCCUAGCCUACCUUAGCCUAGCCUAAUUUCAGAAGACUUACAUUAGCCUACAGUUGGGCAAAGUCAUCUAACACAAAGCCUAUUUUAUAACAAAGUGUUGAAUAUCUCAUGUAAUUUAUUGAAUACUGUACUGAAACAGUAUUUGAAUACUGUACUGAACAGACUAGUUGUAUGCACACAGGAUGGUUUUAAGAGUAUCAGUUGUUUACCCUCAUGAUCAUGUUGCUGACUGAGAGCUGAGGCUCACUAUUGCUGCCCAGCAUCAUGAGAGUAUCACACCACACAUGGCUAGUCUGGGAAAAGAUCAAAAUUCAAAAUCUGAAGUAGAGUUUCUACUGAAGGCAUAUCGCUUUUAUACUAUCGUAAAACAGAAAAAUCUUAAGUCAAACCAUCCUAAGUUAGGGACUGUCUGUAAAUAGAAUUCGGCAACAUAUUUAAAAAAUUAUACACCACGACCAAGUGGGCUUUAUUCCAGAGAUGUAAGGCUGACUCAAUUUAAAAAACCAAUCAAAAUAAUCCAUCAUAUCAAUAGGCUAAAGAAGAAAAAUCACAUGACCAUAUCAAUUAAUGCACAAAAAGUACCUGACAAAAUUCAACACCCACUCAUGAUAAAAACUCUCAGAAAGACAGGAAUAGAGGGGAACUUCCUCAACUUGAUAAAGAGCAUCUACAAAAAAACCCUACAGUUAACACUAUACUUAAUAGUGUGUGGUGUGUCUAACAAUUAGCUUUUUUGAUUGUGAUGUAAAUUGUAUGACAUUAAGCUUUUGACUGCCCAGGCAUCCACUUCAAAGACAUCCAGCUACAUACCUAGAUAAAGAGUCAGGCCACCCCACCCAUGAAGUUCUCUUUUUUUUAAAAGAGCUCUGGCACACUUAGAUAAGUGACCCAUUGGCAAUUUGCUUUUCCCUUCCUGUAUCCUAAUUCCCACUCUUAUGUUUUAAAUUCACCAAUAAACAGUGAACCCAAAAAUCCUAGGCACCUCACCCUCAACCCCAAUAAAAGCAAAACUCCAGGUCUGCAUUAUCUCUCUACCCAUGAUGUCACUGUGUGGUCCCAGGUGUGCUGUGUAUCCUCCAGGACCUCUGAGUAAUAAAUCUUCUCUUUUCAAAGUUCCCUGAUGGCUGUUGCUGAGGUGUGUCUUGCAAUCAUAAUAAGAACCACAAGGCCAGUACAGCCACAACACUGGCUGCAAAAGGGGAAAUGUCUGUGAGGUCUCACCAAGGGCCCAGGAGAGUGCCCUAGGCAUUUCUAGCCCAUAGCAUCACUAUGGAUAGGCUGAGACUGAUCCAAAACAUAGUGAAAGACCGAAAGCUAUCCACCUAAGAUCAGGAACAAAGCAAAGAUGCCCUCUCUCACUGUUCUUUGUUUUCAGUGAGGAAGAUUGUUCCUGAGCUAACAUCUGUGGCCAAUCUUCCUCUUUUUGCUUGAGGAUGAUUGUCCCUGAGCUAACAUCUGUGCCAAUCUUCCUCUAUUCUGUAUGUGGGAUGCUGCCACAGCAUGGCUUGAUGAGAAGUGGGUAGGUCUGCACCUGGGUUCUGAACCCACGAACCCUGGGCUGCCCAAGUGGAGCACAUGAACUUAACCACUAUGCCA